rnacentral:rRNA from 1 species
UACGUAGGGGGCAAGCGUUGUCCGGAUUUAUUGGGCGUAAAGAGCGUGUAGGCGGCCAAACAGGUCAGCUGUGAAAACUCGAGGCUCAACCUCGAGACGUCGGUUGAAACCGUUUGGCUAGAGUCCGGAAGAGGAGAGUGGAAUUCCCGGUGUAGCGGUGAAAUGCGCAGAUAUCGGGAAGAACACCCGUGGCGAAGGCGGCUCUCUGGGACGGUACUGACGCUGAAACGCGAAAGCGUGGGGAGCGAACAGG